CCCGGUUUCGACGGAUACGGGAAGAUUCGUACUGCAGGUAAGGUCCGCAGGUCCUUUAAACGUGCGAAAAUCUAUAACUGCCAAACGUGAUGAGGACUACGAGUCCGAUGACGAACAGUUAGCUCUCGCUGCGUAAGUAGCGACUUAAAGAGCCGGAAACCCGACUACACCGCUCUGAGCGGCCGGGAUUUUCUGUAACAAACCGGAGCUUGCUGUGCAUAGUGUCCGGUAUAUGCACAGGACAUUUUAUCGGAAUACGGAGCAGAUGCUUUUUGUGCUGCUACCUGCUCCCGACAACUACCUCGCACAAAUAAACCUGUAGAUGUACCAGUUUUACGUACUCGGACGCGGGUUCAAUUCCCGCC
rnacentral:tmRNA from 1 species